UACAGAGGGUGCGAGCGUUAAUCGGAAUUUCUGGGCGUAAAGCGCGCGUAGGCGGCUUUGCAAGUCGGGUGUGAAAUCCCCAGGCUUAACCUGGGAACUGCAUUCGAGACUGCAUUGCUAGAGUAUGGGAGAGGGAAGUGGAAUUUCCGGUGUAGCGGUGAAAUGCGUAGAUAUCGGAAGGAACAUCAGUGGCGAAAGCGACUUCCUGGACCAAUACUGACGCUCAUGUGCGAAAGCGUGGGGAGCAAACAGG
rnacentral:rRNA from 1 species